GCUGCUUGCCAUGUCACCCUGCAGCCCUAGACCGGUUAUUCACUGAAGCUAAGCAGGGCUGAGCCUGUUUAGUACCUGGAUGGGAGACCACUAGGGAACACUAGGUUGCUGUUGGAA
ensembl:rRNA 5S_rRNA 5S ribosomal RNA